UACGGAAGGGGCAAGCGUUGUUCGGAAUUACUGGGCGUAAAGGGCUCGUAGGUGGCCAACUAAGUCAGACGUGAAAUCCCUCGGCUUAACCGGGGAACUGCGUCUGAUACUGGAUGGCUUGAGUUUGGGAGAGGGAUGCGGAAUUCCAGGUGUAGCGGUGAAAUGCGUAGAUAUCUGGAGGAACACCGAUGGCGAAGGCAGUCCCCUGGGCCUGUACUGACGCUCAUGCACGAAAGCGUGGGGAGCAAACAGG
rnacentral:rRNA from 1 species